rnacentral:rRNA from 1 species
GCGAACGCUGGCGGCAGGCCUAACACAUGCAAGUCGAACGAACCUUUCGGGGUUAGUGGCGGACGGGUGAGUAACACGUGGGAACGUGCCUUUAGGUUCGGAAUAACUCAGGGAAACUUGUGCUAAUACCGAAUGUGCCCUUCGGGGGAAAGAUUUAUCGCCUUUAGAGCGGCCCGCGUCUGAUUAGCUAGUUGGUUGAGGUAAUGGCUCACCAAGGCGACGAUCAGUAGCUGGUCUGAGAGGAUGAUCAGCCACAUUGGGACUGAGACACGGCCCAAACUCCUACGGGAGGCAGCAGCGGGGAAUCUUGCGCAAUGGGCGAAAGCCUGACGCAGCCAUGCCGCGUGAAUGAUGAAGGUCUUAGGAUUGUAAAAUUCUUUCACCGGGGACGAUAAUGACGGUACCCGGAGAAGAAGCCCCGGCUAACUUCGUG